UUGAAUGUGGUUUCGUGACGGGAUGGGUGUGCGUUUUCGCGGAUGAGCCGGAGUGUGGGGUCCCUUCGAGAUGAAGACCAGGUGACGAGUUAUAGCCACCGUAUGACGAGUUUAGAGUCAGCCUUUGGGACUGUUCCGGACUUGUGAUUUACGCGACAGGUGUGAAGGCGUGCCUGCAGAGCCUGUAGCAUCUGGCGACGGUGUUCGCCCGUUGCCGUUGUGGUGUCACGCGUUUGUUGUGCGCGGUCGUGCAUUAACGAGGUGUGCUGCCGGAGCUGCCGGCUCUUGGCGUACCGAAAGCGCUGCAAGUUAGCGCCUUACCGAUGCGGCCCAGUAGUUAGUGAAACUUUUGUAGUUGAAGACGUCGUCCAUCGCCUGUAACCACGGCCGCUGCAGCAGCGACAAAAUCGAACCAUGAAGCCCCUGGAUAUCGGCGAGGUACCCGUAGAGCUCAAAACUCGCCCCAAAGCAUUCGUCGCCUUCAUCGGUUUAGAACCGCAGGCCAACAACAUCCAUGCCGCGAUUUGGGAUGCCUUUUCUAACAACCGCGGACCAGACCGGUCGCCGCUGAACUUCGUGAUGCUGCCUGACAAACAUGUAUUUCCGAAACCCAAACCCAAGCACCCAUCGUACGAGUGGUACGAGGAGAGGGGUCUGCUCAAGAGCAACUGGCUGCACAAGCAUCUUGCCCAAGUCCCUGCAGUGGCCAUCCUCUUCUUCGACAUGGACUGGGACGACCCCAGCUGGGCUGACAAGCGCAAUGACUGCUCAACCAAGAUACGCAGCCUCAGAGCUAGCCUACAGGGCAGAAACACCAAGGUGGCCUUGGUCCUGGUGCAGAACAACCUCUCCAUACCCGUUGGAGACAAUGUGCUGGCCACGGAGCGGGCACACGCCCUGUGCAAUGCCUGUGAGCUCCCGCCAAAGGCCCUGUUUGUUCUGCCCUACUCGGACCACCUGUUUGGCUUUAUCCUGAGGCUGGAGACAGCCUUUUUGGAGAUUACCCAGGGCUACUACCUCAACGAGUGCAAGCGGGUCAAGGCUCACAAGGACUUUGCCAACAAGAACACACACCAGCAACUCCUGAUUCGUCACCAGUUCAAGAUUGCAUUCCUGCACGAACUGAAACAGGACCCAGGUGUUGCUAUUCGCCACUACAAACAAGCUUAUGUUGACUUGCUGGAGCUGAAAACCACAGAUGCCAACAUUCUUGAGGUCAAAACCGUCGCAGGCAUUCUUAACUACAAGUUGUGCCAGCUGGCAUUCAUGCAAAACAUUCCGCUGGAUGCUAUCCACCAGUUUCGACGGCAUGUGGACAUCUUCAAGGACCGCAUCGGCAACCCCCGACUUGCCUUCGAGCACAGUGCCUGGCUGUCCAAGCAGUUCAGCCACUUUGGUGACCUGUUUGAGGAAGCGGUGAGCUUCGGCCUGACUGCAAUCCAGACGCAGCACCCGGGCUUCUACUACCAGCAGGCGGCCAAUCACGCCAUGGCACGCAAGGAGCAAGCGGCCCGGCUGUGCAAGGAUGUGACAUCUCCUCCAGACAUCAACAUGCUUGAAGGUGAAGAAUCCCUCGAGUUCUACGGUCAGAGGCCCUGGCAGGCCAAAGUACAGGGAAGGAGUGAAGCACUUGAUCCACAGACGGAGGACUUUGGAAUCCAAGCACUCCAGUUCAGGGAAAAGAAAGAAGUGGACCACUCGGGUCUGGUGGUGCCCCUGUUGAGCAGUGCAGUGGCUCAGUUCAAGAAGUACCGCUGCCCCCGCAUGAAGAGGCACCUCAUGGUGCAGAUAGCCGAGGAGUACUACUCCAGUUCGGACUACGACAAGGCUCUCAGCAUCCUGACACACGUGCUCUGGGACUACCGUGCUGAGCGCUGGCGACCCUUGGUUUCCAACAUCCUGACCACUGCCCUCAAGUGUGCCUACCUCUCGGCCAGCGUGCCGACCUUCCUCAUGCUGGGCCUGGAGUUCACCUCCAGUUGGAUCCUAGGGACGCAGGAGGAGAAGAGCUCCAUCCAGACCAGUGUCUUCAAUGUCAUUGAGGGUAACCAGCCAGUGGCGUUCCCUGGCAUGUCACCGUCCAGCAUCGCUAUUGCUGACGCCGCCUGGAAGGAGGCACUGUCGGACCAGCCAGGGCAGCCAUUGCAGAAUUUGGACAUGGACCACAUCAUCCAGUCAGUUGAAUGCAAGGUCCAGUUCGGACACAGCGCAUUCUAUGCCGACCAGCGUGUCUGCCUCAAGGUCUUCAUCAGGUCCAACUGUCCUCUUCCAAUCAAGGCCAGUGGGCUGAAGGUGCACUUCAACAACCAGCACUACAACAACUUCUGCAUCGUCGAGGAUGGUGACCCAGCUGCAGCCAUUGGCAGCCUACACUUGGUGCCACGGAGGACGCAGUCCUUCUCCUUUGCAUUCCUGCCUCGGUCAUGUGACAUCAACAGCGACAUCCAGGUGAGCUCGGUGCACCUGCGGCUGGGUUCUCCUUCUUCGUCCGAAUCGUCCACCGGUCUGACGCUAGCCUGGAACUGGGAGGGCACUUCGAGCAGCUCUGGUGGUAGCAGUGCAAGGCCGGGCCUGGCGUGGGACCCAAUCCCUCGCAAGCCCUUUGGCCACGGCGAGGAGGUGGCCUUCCACCAGCUGCCACAGAUGGCUGCCGCCAGGAUUCACCCAAGGCGCCCCCAGGUGUCGCUGGUGUUGGACCACAAGCCACCUGUGCUGCUGCAUGAGUUCUACCAACUGGCGAUCACGAUCGUGAGCGAGGAGAUUGCACCACUCACUGAUGUCUGCCUCAGCAUUGGACUGGUUGAAGACCUGGACCCCAAGUACUACACCACCACCCACUUCACGUGUGAGCCAACACCCGUUGUACCCAAGCAGCCAGCCAGCAAGAUUCGAGGUUUUCACAUUGACAACAUUCCUGCAGGAGGUCGGAAAAAGCAGACUGUCCUGCUGAGGAACUCGGAAGUUGGCACACGGAGGGUUUUUGUCAAGGUCGAGUACAAGACCGAGGUGGAGGUGGACAGUCGUGUGCUGUGCUGCAGUUGCUGCCGCGAGAUCUUCCUCGACCUGGAGUGCAUCGAGCCAUUGAGCUUCUCUGCCAGGCUGCUCAACCUCAAGUUUGAGCCCGUGGAGGUGGUGCGAGCGGAGGAGCAAUUUGUGGUGCAGGUGGACAUGGAGUCAUGCUGCCCACUGCCCCUGGAGCUCAUCUCAGGUGCAGUCAAGCUGAGUCCUCAUGUGAACACGGUGGACAAGGAGUUCCAGUCGCUCAUUGAAGGAGUGAAGCUGAACAGUGGUGAAGUGGUGCGGGACCUGUUGUGCCUGGUGGCUCCCAACCCUGUAGAUGCACUCAGUUGCCUCGGACAGUACACCCUGCAGUGGAAGAGGGAAGGCGCUCCUGCAAUGGCAACCCACACGGUGUCGCUCCCAGCAGUGCCAGUGCAAGCAUGCCCACUCCUGCUGGAGCUGGUGGCGCCUGCGCAUGGCCGGGUGCGCACCCCACUGACCGUCAGCUACUUGCUGCAUAACCGCACCCUGCUCGUGCAGGAUGUCGAGCUGGUUAUGGACUCCAGCGAUGCCUUCAUGUACUCCGGCAACAAACUGCUGCAUUUCCGCAUCCUCCCACGAGAGUGCCAGACGCUGACCUACAACCUGUACCCCCUGCUGCCGGGAUACGUGCCUCUGCCCCGGAUGCACCUGGUGCUGGGGCCAGGCACCGCAGCUGCCUCCACCCUCGACGGCCUCCUCAACGAGAUGCUGCCCUCACACAUCUUCAUCAUGGCAUCAUCAUGGCGCCAUGCUCAUGGGUGACCUUGGCAAGCAAGUGCCUUAGCGAAGUGGGAUGAUACCACUGUAUGUCUCACACAGCCAAGGCAAUCCCCAGGCCAAGACCUUAACACCCUGCGAAGCAAUGGGUAUGAGCUAGUAAAGACUGGAAGAUACAUUAUAGCUUAAUUCCAGAAGCUUUGUACAUAAUAUAAUGCUGGAAAAAACACAAUGAAAGUUUCUUAGGGAAAUAAAUUGCUUUUGAAAG